UCCCUUAGUGAAAACCAAGGUUAUGAACCAAUAAGAGAAUAACGCAAACCCCCUUCGACAACACCUACACACACAGAACCAAACACUUGCACCCAACGCGGGCAAGAGGGUUGACAAGCCCCUUGAACUCGUUACUUGGAAGGAUUAAAUACUGGUAGAUAGAUAAUAUAAAUAAAUAGAAGUAAAUAACAUUAAAUAAAUUACAACAACAUAUUUUUGGAAUUUUUAGUAAAUAUGUUUAAGCAGACCUGGGGGCAUAGUUUGCGCUAGAUGUAUCUCUCUCAAAC
rnacentral:lncRNA from 1 species